UACGGGGGGUGCGAGCGUUGUCCGGAAUCACUGGGCGUAAAGGGCGCGUAGGUGGUUUGAUAAGGGUGUGGUGAAAGUCCGGGGCUCAACCCCGGAUCUGCCAUGCCGACUGUCAAACUCGAGGGCUGUAGAGGCAGACGGAAUUCCGGGUGUAGCGGUGGAAUGCGUAGAGAUCCGGAGGAAGACCGGUGGCGAAGGCGGUCUGCUGGGCAGUUUCUGACACUGAGGCGCGAAAGCGUGGGGAGCAAACAGG
rnacentral:rRNA from 1 species